ensembl:lncRNA
CUGGAAUUAGAAAAAAGUGGUCUCAGAAUAAAAUAGAUGGAGGAAAAAAAAAGAAAAAUGCAUUCAGUUUCUUUAUCUAACAUUGAAUUGGAGUUUAACCAGUUCAUGUUUACAUUUGUAGGUUUGGGGCAGUCAUAGCUGCUGUGUGUUUAGUGGUCAGCAUAAACUCUUCAGCAAAGGUAAGCUGCCCAUGCAGACAAUUUGCGUGCUUAUUUUUUUUUAAUGUUUUAAUUCUUGAAAAUGCAGACUUUGACAUAGAUUUUUUUUCAUACAGGUAUUUUCAAAGGAGGUGAUGUUGAGAAUGAUAGUUACUGUUGUCUGAGCCAAGAGCUGCUUCCAGAGGAGCACACUGAAACACUGAAAGAGUGCCUCAUUGUCUGCAUUUGCCUGGGCAGUUGAAACUCUCAAGUAGCUUCUGCUGGGGAUUGCUGUGCUUAUUCUGCCUAUACUGCCUUGAUAAAAAUUAUGGCAGUGCUUUAUUUAUAACCUGUCUCUGCUUCUGGACUACCCAAGCAAUUGUUGCCUUUUCUCAGGAAAUCAUAAGACUUACAGCUGGUGAAGCGCCUUGUUUCUUGGAGAGCUCCCAGGAGGAGAAAGAGCUCUGGAUCAGCACACUUCUGCUCAGGCCUUCGAUAUCCUUGCUGCUAAACUUCAGCAGAAAUGUGGCCCCUGCAGAAUGACUUCCACCAGCCUGGCUAUUUGCAUGGAGCCGAGUCUUUUGAGCCCACCUGAGAAGGACAAGCUCUCCAUGGUGCAGGCGAUGGGGAAGGUGAUAUUUACCAGCUGACUACAGCCUUCUGAGCCCAGCCAAGCUGCUUUGAUUGCAGGUGCCUGGCUCAUUCUUAUGCAUUUUAUUCUAUAGCUGUGGGAUCUUCAGAAGAUUUUGAGAAUUUGGAUCAUCAGAGUGAUUUUGAUUGCAGUAGACAGACAUUGUGCUGUCAGUUGGAGAGUGAACAGAAGCUGCAUUUCUCCAAGAUGUUUUACUUUUCCUUUUAAACAAUAUGUAAAUACACAGUCUGUAGGAAGCUUAGAUACUUUUUCCCAUAAGCUUAGAAUCACUUUAAUGUUAACAAGUUACUGUGCUGACAAGUAUUGGUUGAGAUGACCUAAGACACAUUGUGUAAAUCUUUUCAAACACAGUCAUUGUAUAUUCUGGCUAUCUUUGAAUACUCCUGCCUCAUUUGACAUGAAAAAUACUUUAGAGCACAUAUCACUUUUGAGCUGCAGAUCAAGGGACUUGUGAUCCAGCUGGAAGAAGUGGUGCUGCUGUACUUACAUUCAGUAUCACUGGGAAGAAUUAUGCCAACUGCAUUAUGUGACACUCUGCAAAAACACCUUUUCCCAAGCUGUCACCCAGCUGCAACUGCUUUAUUUCAAACCCCGGUGUGCUGUUGCUAUCAAGAGCAUAACAUUCAUUAAAAAGGCUCCUGUCACUGCAUUUUUAGUAUUGCCCAGUAACACAGUAUUUAUUUGCAAGAAUUUCCUGUAAGAGUGUAGGAAGUAAAAUAGACUGCAUUCACUUGAAGUAAUUUUCUCCAGGUUGGAGAAAACGGGUAGCAAACACUAAAAUUGUUUCCUUACUGCAUUAAACAUAAAAACAUAUGAAUGGGGGCAUAUACCCCUAUUGAAAUGCUGGUCCUUUGUGUCUCUCCCACUGUAUUAGAAAGAAUGUGUCUGUGUAGCUCCAUCAUGCAGGCAAGCUGUGUGUUUUUCCCUGUGUGACUGGACAGAUAUUCUGGAAAGAUGAUAUGCCUAUUAUGUGUAUUAACUAUAUUGUGGUAUCACUCUGUAUCCUGACACUGCUCAAAAGCAGUUUCCUUUCAGUCCUAUAAAACCAAAACCAAUAACACAAUAAAAAUUAUAAAAGCCGAAGUCCUGAAGAGCCU